AGAGUUUGAUCCUGGCUCAGAACGAACGCUGGCGGCGUGGCUAAGACAUGCAAGUCGAACGCGAAAGUUCCCUUCGGGGAACGAUUAGAGUGGCGAAAGGGCGAGGAAUACAUGGGUAACGUACCCUGAGCACGGGGAUAGCUCCGAGAAAUCGGGGGUAAUACCCGAUAAGACCACACUGUCUCAAGGCAAAGUGGUCAAAGGGUGGGGACUCCUUCGGGAACCUGCUGGCUCGGGAGCGGCCCAUGUCUUAUCAGCUUGUUGGUGAGGUAAAGGCUUACCAAGGCUACGACGGGUACCGGGACUGAGAGGUUGGCCCGGCGCAUUGGGACUGAGACACUGCCCAGACUCCUACGGGAGGCUGCAGUAACGAAUAUUCCGCAAUGGGCGAAAGCCUGACGGAGCGACGCCGCGUGUGGGAAUAAGCCCUUCGGGGUGUAAACCACUGUCAGGGAUUACCAAGCGAAGAGGGUUAAUACCCUUCCAAGUUGAGGAGUCCCACAGGAAGCCACGGCUAACUUCGUGCCAGCAGCCGCGGUAAGACGAAGGUGGCUAGCGUUGUUCGGAAUCACUGGGCUUAAAGAGCACGUAGGCGGCUCACCAAGUGUCUUGUGAAAUCCCUCGGCCCAACCGAGGAAUUGCUUGGCAAACUGGUGGACUUGAGGCAGGUCGGGGCGUGUGGAACUCUUGGUGGAGCGGUGGAAUGCGUAGAUAUCAAGAGGAACGCCGGAGGCGAAAGCGACGCGCUGGACCUGACCAAGCCUUCAAACGCAAGCAACGGUGUUUGAAGGCUCUUCCUGACGCUGAGGUGCGAAAGCCAGGGGAGCGAACGGGAUUAGAUACCCCGGUAGUCCUGGCCCUAAACGAUGUCCACUAGGUUGAGGGUUCUCUGACGGAGUCUCGGCCGAAAUGAAAACGUUAAGUGGACCGCCUGGGGAGUACGGUCGCAAGGCUAAAACUCAAAGGAAUUGACGGGGGCUCACACAAGCGGUGGAGCAUGUUGCUCAAUUCGAUGCAACGCGAAGAACCUUAUCCUGGGCUUGACAUGCUUGGAUGCCUAUCCCGAAAAGGAGUCGGCUGCCCUUCGGGGUGAAACUUGCACAGGUGCUGCAUGGCUGUCGUCAGCUCGUGUCGUGAGAUGUUGGGUUAAGUCCCGUAACGAGCGAAACCCUUGUCGCUAGUUGCCAGCGCGUUAUGGCGGGGACUCUAGCGAGACUGCCGGUGUUAAACCGGAGGAAGGUGGGGAUGACGUCAAGUCCUCAUGGCCUUUAUGCCCAGGGCUGCAAACGUGCUACAAUGGCUGGGACAAACCGACGCAAAACCGCGAGGUCGAGCAAAUCGGAAAAACCCAGCCCCAGUUCGGAUUGGAGUCUGCAACUCGACUCCAUGAAGUUGGAAUCGCUAGUAAUCGCAGAUCAGCAAUGCUGCGGUGAAUGUGUUCCUGAGCCUUGUACACACCGCCCGUCAAGUCAUGGAAGCCGGGAGCGCCCGAAGUCGCCCCAUCUCAGGGGUGCCGAAGGUGAGCUCGGUGACUGGGACUAAGUCGUAACAAGGUA
rnacentral:rRNA from 1 species